UACAGAGGGUGCAAGCGUUAAUCGGAAUUACUGGGCGUAAAGCGUGCGUAGACGGUUAUUCAAGUCGAAUGUGAAAGCCCCCGGCUUAACUGGGGAGGGUCAUUCGAUACUGUUUAACUUGAAGGCAGGAGAGGGUAGUGGAAUUCCCGGUGUAGUGGUGAAAUGCGUAGAUAUCGGGAGGAACACCAGUGGCGAAGGCGGCUUCCUGGACCGGUUCUGACACUGAGGAGCGAAAGCGUGGGGAGCGAACAGG
rnacentral:rRNA from 1 species